rnacentral:misc_RNA from 1 species
AAAGUCGUAACAAGGUUUCCGUAGGUGAACCUGCGGAAGGAUCAUUAACACGUAUCCACGUAUAUAAACAACUCUGUGAACCCGUAACAAGAUGUUGGUCAUGACUUAGUGAUAGGCGUACCCAUUCUCAUUAGGGUGGAAUGCGCGUCAUGAUUCUGGGGAGUCCAUCCCGAUACGACUUGUUUUCAUUCUCUAUCGCUACAACCAUUUUUAACCAUUUUAACCUUUAACACAUUCUGACUGAUGUACGUAUGUAAGAGAAAUCUGGCAUUCGUCUUUUAUCUAAACUAAGCACAACUCUUAGCAAUGGAUAUCUUGGUUCUC